rnacentral:rRNA from 1 species
UGGGGAAUAUUGCACAAUGGGGGAAACCCUGAUGCAGCGACGCCGCGUGAACGAAGAAGGUAUUCGUAUCGUAAAGUUCUGUCCUAUGGGAAGAUAAUGACAGUACCAUAGAAGAAAGCUCCGGCUAAAUACGUGCCAGCAGCCGCGGUAAUACGUAUGGAGCGAGCGUUGUCCGGAAUUAUUGGGCGUAAAGGGUACGCAGGCGGUUUAAUAAGUCGAAUGUUAAAGAUCGGGGCUCAACCCCGUAAAGCAUUGGAAACUGAUAAACUUGAGUAGUGGAGAGGAAAGUGGAAUUCCUAGUGUAGUGUGAAAUACGUAGAUAUUAGGAGGAAUACCAGUAGCGAAGGCGACUUUCUGGACACAAACUGACGCUGAGGUACGAAAGCGUGGGGAGCAAACAGG